AGUGAACGCUGGCGGUAGGCCUAACACAUGCAAGUCGAACGGCAGCACAGGAGAGCUUGCUCUCUGGGUGGCGAGUGGCGGACGGGUGAGGAAUACAUCGGAAUCUACUUUUUCGUGGGAGAUAACGUAGGGAAACUUACGCUAAUACCGCAUACGACCUACGGGUGAAAGCAGGGGACCUUCGGGCCUUGCGCGAUUGAAUGAGCCGAUGUCGGAUUAGCUAGUUGGCGGGGUAAAGGCCCACCAAGGCGACGAUCCGUAGCUGGUCUGAGAGGAUGAUCAGCCACACUGGAACUGAGACACGGUCCAGACUCCAACGGGAGGCAGCAGUGGGGAAUAUUGGACAAUGGGCGCAAGCCUGAUCCAGCCAUACCGCGUGGGUGAAGAAGGCCUUCGGGUUGUAAAGCCCUUUUGUUGGGAAAGAAAUCCAGCUGGCUAAUACCCGGUUGGGAUGACGGUACCCAAAGAAUAAGCACCGGCUAACUUCGUGCCAGCCGCCGCGGUAA
rnacentral:rRNA from 1 species